GAGAGAGAGUGCAUAACCACUUGUGGGGGCCUGCCGUACCGUGACUGGCGUGUUCCGGCGCGGCACCUAGGGCGUCCACGGUUCAGGGCGGGCCAGCCAGGGAACCUCAUCCGUGUAGUCAAAUCCACGCUGCCUGGUCGUCAAUCCAGGCAGUACAAGGAGCCGGAUCGAGCAUUAAACGCUCUGUACCCAUCCCACGCAGUUGGGUGAAGGUGCAGAGCGGAUUUCUGUAGCUAAAGGAGGCACCCCUGGAAAGCGGCGGAGGAUGCAAGCAGGGCUGGAAUAAACCCCUGCCCCUGCGUCGAUUCCCCUGUGGCUGUGGGUGUAAAGACCCACAGCGACUCGCACCGCGGCAGGACACCACUCUUAGGUUUAGCAUGCUCUCGCCACUGUCCCAAUCAAAACCCUCUGUGUACCCUUCCCAGUUGCUUCCCCCGGGGAACUGGCUCCGGCCAGCCGGGGGGAGAAACCAAGCAAAAACCCUUUUUUCGCAAAACAGACGUCCGAAUUUAAAAACAAAACAAAAAGUUAA
rnacentral:rRNA from 1 species